CCCAGCAUGGCACAGUGGUUUGUGCUUUGGACUAUGACUCUGGAGAUCAGGGUUUGAAUCCCAGCUCAGCCA